CUACUGCAUUAUGUAACAUCAGAAUACUAAAGUAAGAAUUAAUGAAAGUCGUUCAGAUGGUUAAUUGUCAAAAGUUUCAUAAAUUGUCCUUGUGCUUCUGAAAUAGUAGUCUGGCUGUCA